rnacentral:rRNA from 1 species
AGAUUGAACGCUGGCGGCAGGCCUAACACAUGCAAGUCGAGCGGCAGCACGGGUACUUGUACCUGGUGGCGAGCGGCGGACGGGUGAGUAAUGCCUAGGAAUCUGCCUGGUAGUGGGGGAUAACGCUCGGAAACGGACGCUAAUACCGCAUACGUCCUACGGGAGAAAGCAGGGGACCUUCGGGCCUUGCGCUAUCAGAUGAGCCUAGGUCGGAUUAGCUAGUUGGUGGGGUAAUGGCUCACCAAGGCGACGAUCCGUAACUGGUCUGAGAGGAUGAUCAGACACACUGGAACUGAGACACGGU